ensembl:lncRNA
UUCAGCCUAGCCAAUGACAAAUUUGACCAUUUAAAAUUCAUAUUUUUAUUAUUUGCUGUGCACAUAUCAAAUUUGGACAGUAAAACCAUGUAAUGGCAAGAACACAUUUGCACAGUUCUUUGACCGCUUAUCUUGCAGGAUUUGAUGGCAUUUCCCAAGAAACGAACGUACACAAUGUAAUCUUCAUAAGGUACAACUUUGGUGUUACUGCUUGUAGCUAGGAGAAUGCUGCUGCUGCUGCCGCUGCUGUUGGGGCUUGUAGCUAGGCUGCUGCCGUUGUUGGGGCUUGUAGCUAGGCUGCUGCUGCUGGGGCUUGUAGCUUGGCUGCUGCUGCUGCUGCUGCUGCUGGGGCUUGUAGCUUGGCUGCUGCUGCUGCUGGGGCUUGUAGCUAGGCUGCUGCUGCGGCUGGUAGCUAGGCUGCUGCUGCUGCUGCUGGGGCUGCUGGGGGUUGUAGCUAGGCUGCUGCUGCUGCUGCUGCUGCUUGUCGCUAGGCUGCUGCUGCUGCUGCUCGUCGCCAGGAUGCUGCUGCUGCUGCUGCUGCUGCUGCUUGUCGCUAGGAUGCUGCUGCUGCGGCUUGUCGCUAUAAUGCUGCUGCUGCUGCUGGGGCUUGUCGCUAGAAUGUUGCUGCUGCUGCUGCUGGGGCUUGUCGCUAGGAUGUUGCUGCUGCUGCUGCUGCUGGGGCUUGUCGCUAGGAUGUUGCUGCUGCUGCUGCUGCUGGGGCUUGUAGCUAGGAUGCUGCUGCUGCUGCUGCUGCUGGGGCUUGUAGCUUGGCUGCUGCUGCUGCUGCUGCUGGGGCUUGUAGCUAGGCUGCUGCCGUUGUUGGGGCUUGUAGCUUGGCUGCUGCUGCUGCUGCUGCUGCUGGGGCUUGUAGCUAGGCUGCUGCCGUUGUUGGGGCUUGUAGCUAGGCUGCUGCUGCUGGGGCUUGUAGCUUGGCUGCUGCUGCUGCUGCUGCUGCUGCUGCUGCUGGGGCUUGUAGCUUGGCUGCUGCUGCUGCUGCUGGGGCUUGUAGCUUGGCUGCUGCUGCGGCUGGUAGCUAGGCUGCUGCUGCUGCUGCUGGGGCUUGUAGCUAGGCUGCUGCUCGCUAGGCUGCUGCUGCUGCUGCUCGUCGCCAGGAUGCUGCUGCUGCUGCUGCUUGUCGCUAGGAUGCUGCUGCUGCGGCUUGUCGCUAUGAUGCUGCUGCUGCUGCUGGGGCUUGUCGCUAGGAUGUUGCUGCUGCUGCUGCUGGGGCUUGUCGCUAGGAUGUUGCUGCUGCUGCUGCUGCUGCUGCUGGGGCUUGUAGCUAGGAUGCUGCUGCUGCUGGGGCUUGUAGCUUGGAUGCUGCUGCUGGGGCUUGUAGCUAGGAUGUUGCUGCUGGGGCUGCUGGGGCUGCUGGGUCUUGUAGCUAGGAUGUUGCUGCUGCUGCUGCUGGGGCUUGUAGCUAGGAUGUUGCUGAUCCUGCUGCUGCUGGGGCUGGGGCUUGUAGCUAGGAUGUUGCUGAUCCUGGGGCUCGUAGCUAGGAUGCUGCUGAUCCUGGGGCUCGUAGCUAGGAUGCUGCUGAUCCUGGGGCUCGUAGCUAGGACGCUGCUGAUCCUGGGGCUCGUAGCUAGGAUGCUGCUGCUGCUGCUGGGGCUCGUAGCUAGGAUGCUGCUGCUGGGGCUCGUAGCUAGGAUGCUGCUGCUCCUGGGGCUGCUGUUGCUGGUCGUAACUAGGCUCCUGUGGCUUAUAGCUAGAAGUCUCCUGCUGGGGCUUGUAGCUAGGAUACUGCUGCUGGGGUUUGUCGCUAGGAUGCUGCUGCUGGGGCUGUGGCUGGCCGUAGCUAGGCUCCUGUGGCUUGUAGCUAGAAGGCUGCUGGGGCUUGUAGCUAGGAUGUUGCUGCUGCUGCUGGGGCUUGUAGCUAGGAUGUUGCUGCUGCUGCUGCUGCUGGGGCUUGUAGCUAGGAUGUUGCUGCUGCUGCUGCUGCUGGGGCUUGUAGCUAGGAUGUUGCUGUUGCUGCUGGGGCUUGUAGCUAGGAUACUGCUGUUGCUGCUGCUGCUGCUGGGGCUUGUCGCUAGGAUGCUGCUGCUGGGGCUUGUCGCUAGGAUAUUGCUGCUGCUGCUGCUGCUGGGGCUUGUAGCUAGGAUGUUGCUGCUGCUGCUGGGGCUUGUAGCUAGGAUGUUGCUGCUGCUGCUGCUGCUGGGGCUGGGGCUUGUAGCUAGGAUGUUGCUGCUGGGGCUUGUAGCUAGGUUGUUGCUGCUGGGGCUUGUAGCUAGGAUGUUGCUGCUGCGGCUGGGGCUUGUAGCUAGGAUGCUGCUGGGGCUUGUAGCUAGGAUGCUGCUGGGGCUUGUAGCUAGGAUGUUGCUGCUGCUGCUGGGGCUUGUAGCUAGGAUGUUGCUGCUGCUGCUGGGGCUUGUAGCUAGGAUGUUGCUGCUGCUGCUGCUGCUGCUGGGGCUUGUAGCUAGGAUGUUGCUGCUGCUGGGGCUUGUAGCUAGGAUGCUGCUGCUGCUGCUGGGGCUUGUAGCUAGGAUGUUGCUGCUGCUGCUGGGGCUUGUAGCUAGGAUGCUGUUGCUGCUGGGGCUUGUAGCUAGGAUGCUGCUGCUGCUGGGGCUUGUAGCUAGGAUGCUGCUGCUGCUGGGGCUGGUCGCUAGGAUGCUGCUGCUGCUGGGGCUUGUAGCUAGGAUGCUGCUGCUCGCGCUUGUAGCUAGGAUUCUGCUGCUGCGGCUUGUAGCUAAGAUGCUGCUGCUGCUGGGGGUGAUCGUAGCUAGGCUUCUGUGGCUUGUAGCUAGAAGGUUGCUGUGGCUGGGGCUGGUAGCUAGGAGGUUGUUCCAACUGCUGCUGGGAAUUGUAGCUAGGAGGCUGCUGCAGCCCAUACGUAGGCAUCUCCGGCUCAGCAUACCCGAUCCUGUAAGCUGUUAUACAUACUUGUUAGCACAUGGAAACCUGCCUAUUUAAAUUAAUACUUUAUCCUGAACUCACCAUGUACUUUACACCCUACAUCAAGGAGUAGAGACAAUUGAAGUACCCUGUUAUGUGAAUACAAACAUAUUUUAACAUGUCCAUGCCACUGAUGACAAAAUAAAGUACUCCAAAAUAAAGAAUUUACCUCAUUAUUAAAGCCAUGGUUGAGCUGGCGAGCAACUGUAGUACGCCGGUGAGCCUGCCACUACAACUCCAGUGAAAUGAGGAACGCUGCUGAAGCUUUAAAGAAGGACUCACAUCUAAUCCCAUUC